rnacentral:rRNA from 1 species
AUUGAACGCUGGCGGCAUGCCUUACACAUGCAAGUCGAACGGUAACAGGUCUUCGGAUGCUGACGAGUGGCGAACGGGUGAGUAAUACAUCGGAACGUGCCCGAUCGUGGGGGAUAACGAAGCGAAAGCUUUGCUAAUACCGCAUAAGAUCUACGGAUGAAAGCAGGGGACCGCAAGGCCUUGCGCGAACGGAGCGGCCGAUGGCAGAUUAGGUAGUUGGUGGGAUAAAAGCUUACCAAGCCGACGAUCUGUAGCUGGUCUGAGAGGACGACCAGCCACACUGGGACUGAGACACGGCCCAGAAUCCUACGGGAGGCAGCAGUGGGGAAUUUUGGAAAAGGGGCGAAAGCCUGAUCCAGCCAUGCCGCGUGCAGGAUGAAGGCCUUCGGGUUGUAAACUGCUUUUGUACGGAACGAAAAGACUCUUUCUAAUAAAGAGGGUCCAUGACGGUACCGUAAGAAUAAGCACCGGCUAACUACGUGCCAGCCGCCGCCAUAA